ACCCAUAACAACUUUACCGAUCAUAUUAAAUGCGAUAUUAGCUUUAAAUUUCUGACCUAUCAGCUGUAAACCGUGGGCUAUUGGCCGACCGUGGCGAUGACCGGCAACGGCGAACUGGGCUUUGAUAGCGGCGAAGGCGCGUAAGAAACCGCGACCACCAGCAAAGAAGGCAGCCGUCGUGCGAACUAUCCGAUUCUGAUUCAGGGCGGCAGCGAUAAAAAAUAACAGUAUCGUACCUUUUGGUUUUGCAACUGGAACGAACUGAGCAUUAACCCGUUUACCAGCAUUAACUGGCGUGCGAGCCUGGUGCCGGCGGCGGCGGUGAUUCCGGCGCCGAUUGCGUAUAUUAAAGUGGUGGCGGUGAAAAAACUGGUGGUGGGCUUUCUGCUGAUUAUUUAUAUUAAAUAUUUUGAUGAAUAUCUGUAUAACAUUAACAUUAUUCAUAUUACCAUUUAUUUUAGCAUUUAAAACUUUACCCUGCGUAAACUGGAAUGCCUGAAACAGGCGUAUGCGCUGAACACCCCGGCGUGGAACAACAUUAAAGAUUUUUAUCUGAGCUAUUGGUUUUAAGAUAAAAACAACGAUUAAUAAGGCCAGCUGGGCGCGUUUGUGUUUAAC
rnacentral:rRNA from 1 species